GGAGAGGUGGCUAAGUGGUCGAAAGCACCGCACUCGAAAUGCGGCAUAUGGGCAACCGUAUCGGGGGGGUCGAAUCCCACCCUCUCCG
rnacentral:tRNA from 1 species